rnacentral:rRNA from 1 species
GGAUUUUGAGCCUGGAUCUAGACGAACGCUGGGGGCGUGCCAACACAUGUCCUUGCAACGAUCCUUUUUGUUAUCGCCCGACUUCUGAGUAUCGCCUGAGAAUGUGCCCUCAGGAGGGGGACAGCUUCUGGAAACGGUUGCUGAUACCCCAUAUGCCGAGAGGUGAAACGAAUUUCGCCUGAGGAUGAGCUCGCGUCUGAUUAGCUAGUGGGUGUGGUAAAGGUGCACCAAGGCAUCGAUCAGGCUGUGGUCUGAGAGGAUGAUGUCCACACUGGGACUGAAACACGGCCCAGACUCCUACGGGAGGCAGUCGUGGGGAAUUUUCCGCAAUGUUAGAAAGCCUGACGGAGCAACGCCCCGUGAGGGAUGAAGGCCUCUGGGCUGUAAACCUCUUUUCUCAUGGAAGAACAUCUGACAGCACUUGAGGAAUAAACCUCAGCUAAUUCCUGGCCAACCUCCGCGCUUGUACAGGAGAGGCAAGCCUUUUCCGGAAUUAUUGUUCGUAAAGCGUCCCUGGGAAGGCCACAAAGUCUGCUGUUAAAAAGUGCAGCUUAUCUCCCUCUUGGGCGUGCAAACUACUGUACUAUAGAGUGGCAGGCUUGCAGGGAAUUCCCGGUGUAGCAGUGAAAUGCGUAUAUGUUGCGAAGAACACCGGUGGAGACCGUGCUCUGCUGAGCCAUAACUGACGCUCAUGUGCAAUAGCCGGGUAAGCGAUCGGGAUUAGAUCCCCCUGUAUCGAUGGUCGUAGACAAUGAACGCUAGGAGAGCCGCGAAUCCACCUCCUCUGCGUCCAAGUAUAUGCGUAUAUCGUUCCUCCUGGUGGAGAACCCACUCAACUCUGAUACUCAAAGGAAUUCCACGUGGGCACUGCACCAUCCGCUGGUUUAUGUGGGGUCAUUUCACAUGCAGAGCUGAAGAAACCUUACUGCGCUCUGACAUCCUCCCGAAUAC